rnacentral:misc_RNA from 1 species
CUAUUCUGCUCUUGAAUGGUAGAGUUCGCAACAUAAUUAUUCAAAAAUUUUUAAAAAUAUGUUUCCCUUUAAUGUUUUUAGAUCUUAAGCUUGUAAUGAUAUAUUUGUUCAAGAUAUGAACAUGGACAAAACUUGAAAUUUUCAGUCAAAUGAAAAGAAAAACAGGCCAUAAUGCUUUGAAAAAUAAGCACUUUUUAAUAUGACAGAUAAGAAACACACUCAUGAUUUUGCUGCUUGCAACGUUGGAAAACGUAAACACGUUGCAUUGACGGUAAUCCAAAAAGUGGAAAUUCUGUAAAAGAUGGAGGCAGGUGCUACUCCUCGGUUUAUAGCAGAAUCGUAUGGAAUUGCAACAUGGACUGUGUAUGAUAUAUGGAAAAAUAAAGGAAAGCUGUUGAAAUUUAACAGCAACACUGAUUCUAGCACCGGAAUCCAAAACCGGAAAUCUUUACAUGAGGGGAAAUCGGCAAACCUUGAUGCUGUCUUGUACGAGUGGUUCCGGCAGUGGCGGAGUGAUGGGGUACCAAUUUCAGGACUGCUCCUCAGAGAAAAGAGGAAGUAGAUUCUUUCUGAUUUAAAAAUGGAGAAGCCUAAUAUAAAUAUAUAAUAUAUCAAUUUAUAUACGUAAUAAUAAUUUAAGGCAUAUAAUAAAUUAUUGUAAUAAUGUGUAUAAUAAUUUAAUUCAAUGUAUAUAAUACACCUUAUUUAUUUUGCACUUUUAGUCUGAAUAUUAUCUUUUCUGUCCUGAAAUCUGCAAAAUUCUAAAAUCCUCACAACCUUGGUCCCAGGCUCUGCAGAUUUCUGGACUUCUACUGUAUUUACUUAUUGUCUAACCAUCAAAUGUGCAAAGAGCCAUAUAAAAAUUUUGCAAGCAGCUUGUCAGCCAAAUGUCAGAUGUUUAUAUCACACAUGUAUUAUUUAUAUUAAUUAUAUAUGAAAGAAAAAAUAUUAACUUUUAAUUUGCGAUAACCAUUAGUUUUCUUUUUAAUUUCAUUAUUUGCAUUCUAAAAAUAAUAAAUUGUGAAUAUUUCGGAAAUGUGUUAUUUCUGAAUAAAUCCCUGUCAUACAGAUCUUUUAUAACGCAAAUGACACGUGUAUUUGCGCAAUGGCAAAAGUGAAAAUAAUAUAUUUUAUCUAAUCAUAAUCAGAUCAUUUUUAGAAAAAUGCUAAUUAAGUCUGUAGUCUGCCACACUUGUUUAUUUCAUGUAGUCUGCCACUUCUGUUUAUUUCAAUGUAAAAAGUAUAUUUUAGCUAAUGAUAUAAAUGGCACCUUAGCAGAAAUAUGUUUACUUCAGUAAUGCUAUUAUAAAAUAAAGAGCUGCAUAAACUGACCAUGACUAUAUUUUUUUUUUUUUUUUUCUUGUAAUAGUGAAUCUGCUUCAUUAUCAUUUACAUCAGACCCAAAUUUUUCAUGUGAUAUGUAUUAGAUGUGCAUAGUAUAUAUGCAUAUGUGUACACAUGCAUACAUUGUGUACAUAUGUAUUACAUAUACAUAUAUAUUUAUGUAUAUAAUGAAGAAAAUUACUAACAAAUUACAAACUUAAUUUUCAAUGCCAUUAUAAUUCUUGCUUUUAUUUGCCUACCUCCCCCUUUGCUGUACUGCAUCUCUGAUAUCAUUUAUUCUUCUGCAGUAAUCUGCAGUGCUGUAAGUUCUUGCCCAAUCAUUGUUCAGGAUUCAAACAAAGGGAUUCUAAGCUUAUUUAUAGCAAGGCUGUGUAGUUGGAGUUAGACAGAUUUUUGGGUAAAAGGAGUUGGAGCUAGAAACUAAAAGGAGUUGUUACUAGAAACAUGUUGACUCUAAAUCCAGUUUUGUUAGACAGUUUGAAAUUGAAAUGAAAUUAAAGUGAAGUGAAAGAAAAUGACAUUUAGUUAUUUUCUAUUCUAUUGACAUAUUAAUAAAUAAAAUAUAAGAGAGGAGGAUGGAUGUGAUAUUUGCCAUUAUUCAUUAACCUGAUUCAUUUAGUCACUUCUUCAACUCAUAGAUGGUAUUAUUGUAGCAUAAUUCACAACAAGAAAAAGGAGCCCAUGGCUGCAAGAUGCAUAUUGAGUCACCUAAUUUGAAACUCAAAAGCAUCUAAUAUGGUUAGAACAAAUGCAGAUAAUGAAGAAAUUGUUACAAUAGAUGAAAAAAGGACUGAUUUAGAUAUCAAAACUUCUCAAGAGUAUUCAUAUUAGAUGAUGUUGCUGAAAAGGAACAAAACUCUGUCAAAUCAAGGAAAUGCAUUGUGCAGUCCAAGCUUGCUGUUAGAGAUGGGUUGAAGGAUACAUUGUGUACAUGCAUACAUUGUGAGAUGGGUUGAAGGAUAUAUAGGUAAAUGUAGGCAAGCAGCAAUAGCAGCAAGAAUUCCCAAAAUUAAUGCCAUUCUUAGGAAGCAAAUAGGAAAAGGAAGAAUUUAUUGAUCAAGUUACAUGAUGGGGAAGUACAUAUUUGAUGAUAAAGAGGUUGUUAGAUUAAGAACUUUGUAGAAGAUGUAGAUAACCCCAAUGUUUCACUAACAGAAAGACUGUGGAAUGAUCUUACAGAAUUGGAAA